rnacentral:rRNA from 1 species
GACGAACGCUGGCGGCGUGCUUAACACAUGCAAGUCGAACGGAAAGGCCCUGCUUUUGUGGGGUGCUCGAGUGGCGAACGGGUGAGUAACACGUGAGUAACCUGCCCUUGACUUUGGGAUAACUUCAGGAAACUGGGGCUAAUACCGGAUAGGAGCUCCUGCUGCAUGGUGGGGGUUGGAAAGUUUCGGCGGUUGGGGAUGGACUCGCGGCUUAUCAGCUUGUUGGUGGGGUAGUGGCUUACCAAGGCUUUGACGGGUAGCCGGCCUGAGAGGGUGACCGGCGACAUUGGGACUGGGAUACGGCCCAGACUCCUACGGGAGGCAGCAGUGGGGAAUAUUGCACAAUGGGCGGAAGACUGAUGCAGCAACGCCGCGUGCGGGAUGACGGCCUUCGGGUUGUAAACCGCUUUCGCCUGUGACGAAGCGUGAGUGACGGUAAUGGGUAAAGAAGCACCGGCUAACUACGUG